CUACCAUGGCUUUCACGGGUAACGGAGGAUUAGGGUUCGAUUCCGGAGAGGGAGCCUGAGAAACGGCUACCACUUCCACGGAAGGCAGCAGGCGCGUAAAUUACCCAAUCCUGAUUCAGGGAGGUAGUGACAAGAAAUAACGGGUCGGGGUUUUGCCCCGGGACUGCAAUGAGACGAAUUUAGACCCCUUAUCGAUCAACAAUUGGAGGGCAAGUCUGGUGCCAGCAGCCGCGGUAAUUCCAGCUCCAAUAGCGUAUAUUAAAGUUGUUGCAGUUAAAAAGCUCGUAGUUGGAUUUCUGGUAGUGGGUUCGAGCGCACAUGCGUGAUGUCUCAUGCCCGUUGCCAUCCUUCUGUUAACCUAUCAGGGCAUUCAUUUGUCAGUUAGGGGCUCAGAUAUUUUACCUUGAGAAAAUUAGAGUGUUUCAGGCAGGCUUGUGCCCGGAUACAUUAGCAUGGAAUAAUGGAAUAGGACUUUAGCCUCUUCUGUUGGUCUGAGGGGUUGAAGUAAUGAUUAAUAGGGAUAGUUGGGGGCAUUAGUACUUAACUGUCAGAGGUGAAAUUCUCGGAUUUGUUAAAGACUAACUUAUGCGAAAGCAUUUGCCAAGGAUGUUUUCAUUAAUCAA
rnacentral:rRNA from 1 species